GCUACAAGAAGGGAGAGGAGAAGCAGUUCGCUGCUGAGGAAAUCUCAUCCAUGGACUUGAUUAAGAUGCGUGAGAUUGAUGAAGCUUAACAAACAGCUUCCUUACUUGGUUGCUAAUGUCGUUGAGGUGUAAAAGCUAAGCCUUUGAAGCAACCCAAGGCACAACAAAAAGAAUAUGAUGAGGCUCUCUUCGUUGUCGGGCUUCUUCAAGAUGAUAUUGAUCCCAUGGUGUCUGUUAUGAAGGUGGAGAUGGAACCACCUUUGACUCACUCCUCAUUGUGCUGGUACUGGUGAG